rnacentral:rRNA from 1 species
AAAACUCAAAAACUUAGUCUCAGUUCGGAUUGUAGGCUGAAACUACGCCUACAUGAAGCUGGAGUUGCUAGUAAUCGCGAAUCAGCAUGUCGCGGUGAAUACGUUCCCGGGCCUUGUACACACCGCCCGUCACACCAUGAGAGUUGGCAAUACCCAACGUACGUGAUCUAACCCGCGAGGGAGGAAGCGUCCUAAGGUAGGGUCAGCGAUUGGGGUGAAGUCGUAACAAGGUACC